GACGUCCCAUCCAUCACUGCAACUUCCGGAGAGGCGAAACCCUAGACAGACCACAGAGAGAGAGAGAGAGAGAGAGAGAGAGAGAGAGAGAGGAUCGGAAGAAGAUGUCGUCGACUCUACUGGAAGUGACUCGAGCUGGUCACGAGGAAGUCGAGCGGCUCGAGCGACUCAUCGUCAAGGACUUCCAAAACGAACCGGCUUCCAGCAAGGACCGCCUCUUCCAGAGCCACCGCGUCCGCAACAUGAUCGACCAAAUCACCACCACCACCAUUAAACUCGUCGAGAUUUACGAAGAUAAGGACAAUGCGAGGAAGGAUGAGAUUGCCGCCCUAGGAGGCCAGACUGCCACCGGAAUGAACGUGUUUAGCGCUUUUUAUGACAGAUUAAAGGAGAUUCGCGAGUACCAUAGACGUCAUCCUGCUGCACGUGUUGUGGAUGCAAAUGAAGAGCAUGAGGAGCUACUCAAAGAGGAACCGCGAAUUGAGUUCACUGGGGAGGAAGCUAUGGGGAGGUACCUAGACAUGCACGAAUUGUACAACGAAUACAUCAACUCUAAAUUUGCAGAGCCCAUUGAAUACUCUGCUUACCUUGAUGUUUUCUCACAACCACAUAAGAUUUCUCGGAAACUGAAGCUGACUAGGCAGUACAGGGAGUAUUUGGAGAAACUACUGGAGCAUCUGAUAUAUUUCUUUGAGCGGACGGAGCCUUUGCAAGAUCUUGAAAGAAUAUUCUCGAAGGUAAUUGCUGAAUUUGAGGAGGAAUGGGCUGAUGGCAAGGUGCAAGGAUGGGACAAUGAAGGUCAAGAGAAUGGGCAUGUUUCAGCUCAGCCUUCUGGAAUUGAUCUUGAUUAUUAUAGUACAGUUGAAGAGUUGAUGGAAGUUGGGCCUGAGAGAUUAAAGGAGGCUUUGGCAGCACUAGGACUGAAGACAGGUGGUACCUUUCAGCAACGGGCAGAGAGGCUUUUCCUAACAAAGCAUACACCUCUUGAACAGUUGGACAGAAAACAUUUUGCCAAGGGCUCACGUGGAGCAGAACAAAAUGGUUUCGCUGCAACUCCACAACAAGCUGAGAGUUCUAAAGCAAUUGCACUUACGGAAGCAAAGAUUAUAAAACUUUGUGAUCUGCUACACGAGACAAUUGUUCGAACGAAAGAGAAUGUUGAGAAGAAACAGGCUUUGACAUAUGAGGAAAUGGAAGCAGAGCGUGAGGAGGAAGAUAUACAAGCUGACUCUGAAAGUGAUGACGAGGAGCAGCAGAUUUACAAUCCCCUGAAGUUGCCAAUGGGUUGGGAUGGGAAGCCUAUUCCUUACUGGUUAUAUAAGCUUCAUGGUCUGGGUCAGGAAUUCAAAUGUGAGAUAUGUGGAAAUCACAGUUAUUGGGGCCGUAGAGCCUACGAACGGCACUUCAAGGAAUGGCGACAUCAGCAUGGAAUGCGUUGCCUUGGCAUUCCGAAUACUAAGAACUUCAAUGAAAUCACAUCAAUAGAGGAGGCAAAGGAACUUUGGGAGGGAAUACAAGAGAAGCAAGGAGUAAACAAGUGGCGACCAGAACUCGAAGAAGAAUAUGAAGACAAAGAGGGCAACAUUUAUAAUAAGAAGACCUAUACCGAUCUGCAGCGCCAGGGGCUAAUUUAAAUAAACAGUCCAGCGGAUAUUGCUUAUGUCUUCCGAUGGGUGAUCGUCAAGUCCAAAAUAUAAUGGCCCUCUACUUUGAAUCCAGAGGGAAAAAUGGAUCAGUCAAUUGGUGAUGUUAAGACUCGAGUUUCAAGAGGUGGAUAAUUAUCAUGAGCUUGGUUGCAAUUCUCAGGCGUAAUUCUAGUGAUAAAUUGCAGGUCCGAUCAAUUGUUCAUCCAACUAUCAAACAAGAAUAUGGCCUGUGCCCAAGAAUAUGAUCUAUAUCGAAAAUCAUGGUGGAUGCUAUCUCAGAUCAUGUCUAGCCAUUGCCCAAGGAUGGUGGCCGGAAGGGCUGUUGGGUUUGUUUCCUUAAAGGGGCGUUUGGGAGCCAUUUUUUUCAGAGCUUUGGGUUAUAAUGAGCAUUGUAAAAUUGUUUAGUUGACAACUUGACAUGUGCACACAGAUUUUUUGAAGGGAUUUCGUGAGGGAAAUAUAAUCAGAAUCUAAAAAGUUUAUAGACGAUA